CCUACGGGUGGCAGCAGUGAGGAAUAUUGGUCAAUGGUCGGGAGACUGAACCAGCCAAGCCGCGUGAGGGAUGAAGGUACAGAGUAUCGUAAACCUCUUUUGUCAGGGAACAAAGGCAGGGACGUGUCCCCGGAUGAGUGUACCUGACGAACAAGCAUCGGCUAACUCCGUUCCAGCAGCCGCGGUAAUAGGGGGGAUACGAGCUUUAUCGGGAUUUAUUGGGUUUAAGGGGUGCGCAGGGGGUCUGUUAAGUCAGCGGUAAAAGCCCGGGGCAAAACCCCGACCCGCCGUUGAAACUGGCAGACUCGAGUUGGAGAGAGGUAAGCGGAAUGCGCGGUGUAGCGGUGAAAGGCAUAGAUAUCGCGAAGAAAUCCGAUUGCGAAGGCAGCAUGCCGGCUCCACACUGACGCUGAGGCACGAAAGCGUGGGUAGCGAACAGGAUUAGAUACCCUUGUAGUC
rnacentral:rRNA from 1 species